rnacentral:rRNA from 1 species
UACGUAGGGUGCGAGCGUUAAUCGGAAUUACUGGGCGUAAAGCGUGCGCAGGCGGUUUGCUAAGACCGAUGUGAAAUCCCCGGGCUUAACCUGGGAACUGCAUUGGUGACUGGCAGGCUAGAGUAUGGCAGAGGGGGGUAGAAUUCCACGUGUAGCAGUGAAAUGCGUAGAGAUGUGGAGGAAUACCGAUGGCGAAGGCAGCCCCCUGGGCCAAUACUGACGCUCAUGCACGAAAGCGUGGGGGGCAAACAGG